rnacentral:rRNA from 1 species
AGAGUUUGAUCAUGGCUCAGGAUCAACGCUGGCGGCGUGCCUAAUGCAUGCAAGUCGAACGGGGUGCUUUCGGGCGCUUACGUGGCGGACGGGUGAGGAACACGUGGGCAAUCUGUCCUGAGGUGGGGGGUAGCCCUCGGAAACGGGGGGUAAUUCCGCAUGUGGUCAUCUGGUAGUGGGCUGGAUGGCGAAAGGGUCUUCGGACUCGCCUGAGGGGGAGCCUGCGGCCGAUUAGCUAGUUGGUGGGGUAGUGGCUUACCAAGGCGGUGAUCGGUAGCUGGUCUGAGAGGACGGCCAGCCACACGGGGACUGAGACACGGCCCCGACUCCUACGGGAGGCAGC